AAAGCGAGCGGCGGAUGGGUGAGUAACACGUGGGGAACCUGCCCCUAAGUCUGGGAUACCAUUUGGAAACAGGCUGCUAAUACCGGAUAAUAAAGCAGAUCGCAUGAUCAGCUUUUGAAAGGCGGCGUAAGCUGUCGCUAAGGGAUGGCCCCGCGGUGCAUUAGCUAGUUGGUAAGGUAACGGCUUACCAAGGCGACGAUGCAUAGCCGAGUUGAGAGACUGAUCGGCCACAUUGGGACUGAGACACGGCCCAAACUCCUACGGGAGGCAGCAGUAGGGAAUCUUCCACAAUGGACGCAAGUCUGAUGGAGCAACGCCGCGUGAGUGAAGAAGGUUUUCGGAUCGUAAAGCUCUGUUGUUGGUGAAGAAGGAUAGAGGUAGUAACUGGCCUUUAUUUGACGGUAAUCAACCAGAAAGUCACGGCUAACUACGUGCCAGUAGCCGCGGUAAUACGUAGGUGGCAAGCGUUGUCCGGAUUUAUUGGGCGUAAAGCGAGCGCAGGCGGAAAAAUAAUUCUAAUGUGAAAGCCCUCGGCUUAACCGAGGAACUGC
rnacentral:rRNA from 1 species